GACGGAGCGGUAUACUGAGCGGUGACAGGGGGAGUUUUGGCUGUCACUCAGAGCCCAUGAGAAGACGGGGCGAGGACAAGAGAUGGUAGAAGAUCAUGCGGUCAUAAAAUGGAGAAUUGAGCAGCCUACCCAUAAAAUGGGCUGCCCAGCAGAAAUAUACAUAUUGCAGGUCAUUAAUUACCCUGAGUUUAAGUCACCCAAAUACUGUGAAAAAGUGGACAUAAGAGUUCAACAAAAAAUUAUAAGUUUGCACAGAUCGGGUGUUAGAAAAAUUAAUGAGAUGGUGUGUCGCAUAGAAGCUUUUGUCGAUCAAGAACUCCUUCCAGCUGAUGAUCCCAUAAAGUUAUGGUGAAAAUUUAAUCCCACAAGAAAAGACAUAUUGAAUCUCAUUAAUAAAGCUAGAUCUGAAUCUAAAAAUUAAAAAUUAGACCAGGAAAAUCCUUUGCACCUUUUACACCAGUGGCAAGUAGAAAAACUAGAGUUUAAGAUUUUUUGUCGACCAAAUACAACUGAAUAGCAAGAAAUACCCAAGCAAAAUUUUCUCUUUUGUUACCAAACUGAAUGGCAACAAAAAUUGCCCAUCGGGUAUGGAAAUCACCUAACCUUGCUAGAUGCCACAUAUAGAAUAACAAGAUAUGCUCUUCCACUUUUUUCGUGUCCAGACAAAUGUUUGCUAUGUGAUUGUUGAUUGUGAGCAUUUGUUGUUCAACAAGAAACUGCAUGCAUGCAGGAGGCAUUACAUAUUUUCCAAAAAUGGAACGUUAACUGGAAACCAAAAUGUUUUUUGGUAGACUUUUACCAAGAAGAGAUGAAUGCAAUAUCAAACUUAUUCCAAGGUAAUUAUAUUUUUUUUUCCCAGUGCUAAACUUAAAAGUAAUUAAUAUGAUGGAAUAUACAGUGGGGCAAAAAAGUAUUUGGACAGCCACCGAUUGUGCAAGUUGACCCACUUAAAACGAUGAGAGGUCUGUAAUUUCCAUCAUAGGUACACUUCACUGUGGCAGACAAAAUCUAAAAAAAAACAAAAAAACACAGAAAAUCACAUUGUAUGAGUUUUAAACAAUUUACUUGUAUAUUCUUGUGGGAAAUAUUUGGACACCUACCAAGCAGCAAGAUUUCUAGCUCUCGCAGACCUGUUACUUCUUCUUUAAGAAGCUCUUCUAUCCUCCACUCGCUACCUGUAUUAAUGGCACCUGUCUGAACUGGUUAUCUGUAUAAAAGACACCUGUCCACACCCUCAAACAGACUGCUACCUUUCCACCUUGGCCAAAACCAGAGAGCUGUCUAAGGACACCAGGGACAAAAUUGUAGAGCUGCACAAGGCUGGGAUGAGCUACUCGACAAUAGGCAAGCAGCUUGGUGAGAAGGUAUCAACUGUUGGCACAAUUAUAAAAAAAUGGAAGAAAUACAAGAUCACUGACAAUCUCCCUCGACCUGGGGCUCCAUGCAAGAUCUCACCUCGUGGGGUAUCAGUGAUCUUGAGAAUGGUGAGGAAACAGCCCAGAACUACAGAGGGGGACCUGGUCAAUGACCUCGAGAGAGCUGGGACCAGAGUCACAAAGGUUACCGUUAGUAACACACUACGUUGUCAUGGAUUGAAAUCUUGCAGCACCCAAAAGGUCCCCCUGCUUAAGCCAGCCCAUGUCCAGGCCCAUCUAAAGUUUGCCAGUGGCCAUCUGGAUGAUCCUGGGAGAAUGUAAUGUGGUCAGAUGAGAGCAAGAUCGAACUUUUUGGUAUAAACGCCACUCACCGUGUUUGGAGGGAGAAUGAUGGAUGGCAUCCCAAGAACACCAUACCCACUGUGAAGCAUGGGGGUAGAAACAUCAUGCUUGGGGCUGCUUUUCUGCAAAGGGGACAGGAUGACUGAUCCGUAUUAAGGAGAGGAUGAAUGGGGCCAUCUAUCGUGAGAUUUUGGGCAAAAACCUCCUUCUCUCAGUAAGAGCACUGAAGAUGGAACGAGGCUGGGUCUUCCAGCAUGACAAUGACCCCAAACACACCACCCAGGCAACUAAGGAGUUGCUCUGUAAGAAGCAUUUCAAGGUCCUGGAGUGGCCUAGCCAGUCUCCAUACCUCAACCGAAUAGAAAAUCUGUGGAGGGAGUUGAAAGUCCGUGUUGUCCAGCGACAGCCCCAAAAAAAGACAGAUCUAGAGAAGAUCUGCAUGGAAGAGUGCUACAGUGCAAACCUGGGCAAGAACUACAGGAAACAUUUGACCUCUGUAAUUGCCAACUGAGGUUAUAUUAAAAGUAUUGAGUUAAACUUUGAUUGUCCAAAUAUACAAAUAAAUUGUUUAAAAAUCAUACAAUGUGAUUUCCUAGUUUUUUUCCACAGGUUGGCCAGGCUUGACCUAGGAAAACGUUAACUAAGUUGCCUUGCAUUUACAUUUCAAGGUGAAAACUCUCUUUUUCACUCUUUUUUUUCUCAUUUUCUCUCUCUCUCAUCAUAGGCUAGAUGGGUACUAUUGCCCAUGCCAUAUUGAUUUUACCAUAGCUCGAUAUUUUUGUGUAGGAUCUUUGGGUGCACUCUCUUUCUCUUUUUCACUCUUUUUUUUCUCAUUUUCUCUCUCUUUUUUCUCGUUCUCUCUCUCUCAUCAUGGGCUAGGUGGGUACUAUUGCCCAUGCCAUAUUGAUAUUUUACCGUAGCUCGAUUUAUAUUUUUGUGUAGGAUCUUUGGGAGCAUUAUUCUCUUGAAAAAUUACAUCAUUUAGUCAGUACUUUAGGGUGAAAAUAGUCUACAAGCAAUGCUGCAUAUAUGUUAUCAGUCAGUCAUAUCAUGUUCAAGCAAACACAACACAUGUCAAUUUAAAAAAUACAACACCUUUAUGGAAUCACCACCAGCCAGCACUGUCUAUGGGGUCUGGCCCACCAACCAAACCUACCAUCAGCCUGAUACAUCUGGAAGUGUUCCUCAUUGAGACAAGCUAAGUGUAGCCAGUGCUCUAUGUUCAAAAUUAGCAAACUCCCAAGCCCUGGUUAAGUACUGUUUCUGGUUUAAUCUUGUUAAAAAGGGCUGCCUGGAUGGUAUUCUGCUCACAUACUCUAUGGAAGCUUAAUACACUUGAACUAACCUGCUGCAUUCGUAACUGCUACGUCUUGCUUUUAAUUUGUAUUAUAUUUUAGACAUUGUGGAUUGUCUGUUACAACAUUGCCAUAUUUAAAAUAAGGGCUCUAUUCAUAUUAAAAUGAAUGUGAUCUUUCAAACUAUUUUUUGUAUUACAUAUGUGUCAUGUAUAGAAAUGCUGAACAGACAUUAUUGUAAACUGAAGCCAUCUGAUUUACUUCAGUAAAUGGACUCUGCGAUCCUAUGAAGCAACGCAAAGACAGAUAUAUUGGGAGUCUUUUAAUGAAGCAGUGUAAAUACCUUUUAUAACUAAUAAUAACUUUUCACAUAUUUGUCCCAUUCACACAUAGGGUUAAUGUGGAAAAUUGCAUAUUUACAUAGCGUAGUUCCAGAUCUCUCAAGAUCACCAACCCAUACAGCAGUAUUGGGAGAGUGAAUCAUAGAAGCACAUAAAGCUCAGCUUUACAUUUUUCUUCCAAAAAAAU